rnacentral:rRNA from 1 species
GACGAACGCUGGCGGCGUGCUUAACACAUGCAAGUCGAACGGAAAGGCCUGCUUUCCCUUGUGGAUUGCGGGUACUCGAGUGGCGAACGGGUGAGUAACACGUGAGUGAUCUGCCCCCAACUUGGGUAUAAGCCUGGGAAACUGGGUCUAAUUCCCGAUAGGACUGCAGGGUGGUGCCUGUGGUGGAAAACGAUUUUCUAGUGGUUGGGGAUGAGCUCGCGGCCUAUCAGCUUGUUGGUGGGGUAAUGGCCUACCAAGGCGGCGACGGGUAGCCGGCCUGAGAGGGUGGACGGCCACAUUGGGACUGAGAUACGGCCCAGACGCCUACGGGAGGCAGCAGUGGUGAAUAUUGCACAAUGGGCGGAAGCCUGAUGCAGCGACGCCGCGUGGGGGAUGACGGCCUUCGGGUUGUAAACUCCUUUCGACCGCGAGGAAGCCACCUGGUUGGAAGGGUGGUGACGGUAGUGGUAGAAGAAGCACCGGCUAACUACGUG